rnacentral:rRNA from 1 species
CCUACGGGUGGCAGCAGUGGGGAAUAUUGCACAAUGGGGGAAACCCUGAUGCAGCGACGCCGCGUGAGUGAAGAAGUAUUUCGGUACGUAAAGCUCUAUCAGCAGGGAAGAAAAAGGAGGUUACCUAGGUAGUAAGCCCCGACUAACUACGUGCCAGCGGCCGCGGUAAUACGUAGGGGCCAAGCGUGUUCCGGAUUUACUGGGGGUAAAGGGAGCGUAGACGGUAAUGCAAGUCCGGAGUGGAAUGCGGCAGCUCAACCGCAGAACUGCUAUGGAAACUGUAUGGCUUGAGUGCAGGAGGGGUAAGCGGAAUUCCUGGUGUAGCGGUGAAAUGCGUAGAUAUCAGGAGGAACACCGGUGGCGAAGGCGGCUUACUGGACUGUAACUGACGUUGAGGCUCGAAAGCGUGGGGAGCAAACAGGAUUAGAUACCCUGGUAGUC